rnacentral:lncRNA from 1 species
AGAGUAUUAUUUUAGGAAAGUCCAUAUUUGUGAUACUAUAUAUAGUGAUAAGGACACCCUUUUAUAUAAGGAGUGCACAAGUUUUACAUGAUUGUCUGUAGCGUUAAAAUUGUUUAAUUUGAAUGCAAAAAAUGGAUGGUCGAAUAAAAGUUUGAGUUAUGGUUCACUUAAUUGUUCAUCUAGUAAGAGAAAUUAUAUUUUGUGGUCUAGUUUAUUUAAGUUGGAUGUACCAAAUAGAGUGAUACAUGAAGAUAUUUAAAAGAUAAACGAAGA